rnacentral:lncRNA from 1 species
ACAUAUUGCCAAGGCACUUCAUAUACUGUAUGUGUCCACAAACCUUCAAUGAUACAGAACUCAUAUGAAUUGUUGUGAACCCAACACCCGGAGUGACAUUUGAUUUCAACCCGUGCAGGAGUUUCGUUCUCGAGCCGUUUUCCGUCUGCGUCCCGGCGCCACCAGACGUCCUCCUAUCGCCAGCUGAAGCAGGAGUGCAUGAAGUUCGGUUCUCGAACCAUCAGGUCCCGGUGCCACCAGACGUCCUCCUUUCGCCAGCUGAAGCAGGGCAAAGCUUCACACGGACCAAAGAGCAAACUAGGACACAGGAGCCUGGAAGCGAACCGCCAUUGGCCAGCGUCGGCUCAUCCAAAGUGGUC